rnacentral:rRNA from 1 species
GACGAACGCUGGCGGCGUGCCUAAUACAUGCAAGUCGAACGCAGUGGGGACGGGUGAGUAACACGUGGGUAACCUCCCAUCAGAGGGGAUAACCCUUGGAAACAGGUGCUAAACCGAUACUGAUGGAUGGCCCCGGGGUGCAUUAGCUAGUUGGGGGGGUAACGGGUCACAAGGGCCACGAUGCAUAGACGAACUGAGAGGGUGAUCGGCCACAAGGGGACUGAGACACGGCCCAGACUCAUACGGGAGGCAGAAGUAGGGAAUGUGCGGCAAUGGACGAAAGUCUGAACGAGCAACGCCGCGUGAGUGAAGAAGGUUUUCGGAUCGUAAAACUCUGUUGUUAGAGAAGCGGUAUCUAACCAGAAAGCCACGGCUAACUACGUGCCAGCAGCCGCGGUAAUAC